rnacentral:rRNA from 1 species
GACGAACCGUGCGAACGUUGUUCGGAAUCACUGGGCUUAAAGGGCGCGUAGGCGGGUGUGCAAGUCUGUGGUGAAAGCCCCCAGCUUAACUGGGGAAGUGCCGUGGAUACUGCACGUCUUGAGGAGGGUAGGGGCAUCUGGAACGGUCGGUGGAGCGGUGAAAUGCGUUGAUAUCGACCGGAACUCCGGUGGCGAAGGCGAGGUGCUGGACCCUUUCUGACGCUGAGGCGCGAAAGCCAGGGGAGCAAACGGG